CUGACCCGGCCCAACUGAACGGUAAAGGGGUUAAACCCCUCUUUCCUUUUCAUUUUUUUUUCUUCAACACCAAAUGACCCCUGAAAAGAAAGAGAUGGUUUCCACGAAACCCUAGACGCCGUGGUUCAACCCACUCUCUCUCAUCGUCAUCUGCCAUUUUUGGCAAACCUGCAGUGUACGAGUACUUUUUACAGAGGCGGUUCAACCAUUUGAGGCAAGCAUUUAAUGCUUUGCCUCUUCUCUCCACCAUAUCACAACCAAACGAGGUAUUAAUGCUCCCUUUCUUUGAUUUUUUGCUAUUUUCACCGGUCUUAAGACUGAGAAACCUUAAUGGGUUUUGUUGUAUUCGUUUGAAUCCACAAUUUUUAUUGGUUCAUGAAUAACCCACGGAUCGACCAAUUCUGAGUCAAAUCCGACCCUUUAUUUGCUUGUAUGAUCGAUUCUCAGCCAUUGGAUGUGGUAUUGAGAGAUGCAAUUCUCAAAUUGUAAAAUUCUCACAUUGAAAAUAAGCUAGGGUUUUGAGAUAAAUAGAACCCCCAAUUCACAUUGUUACAGAACCUUUGAGCAUAUCAGAAAUAUACUCAAAAAAUCUAAUUACGUAGGGUUUCUAUUUUUGAGACAUUUAAUUAUUCGAUUUAGUUAAAGUUUAAAAUUUUAAUUGCUUUCCUUGUGUGUGGCUGAGUUCGGGUGGAGAAGAAAGGAGUCUUCCAGUCCAUUCUCGAUGUUGGCUGCACUCAUAAAAGGCCAUUUCCUUCCGUUUGACCGGCCCAACUCUUAUUGCUUGAUCGAGUCGGAAGAGAAAUAAGGGAAGCUAAUAUAUUGAAGGCCCACUUAUGGGUGAAAAUAGGCAAUUUGUGUGGGCUUAGGUAGGCCCACCAGCCUAAACUUCUCUUUACUUUUCAUAAUUAUUUGAUGUAUUCACUUGUAUAUGUAAAGACACUUAUAAAUAUUGAAACCCUUUAUAUGCUUAGAA